AUUUGUAUUAUUUCCAGUGUGAAGGAUACACAGGAGGCCUUGGCUGCAGUUGAACAUGGACACUCCUGAGAAGAAACCAGCCAGUUCCACAGCAAACAGACCGAGAGUGACGGCCAGCGCCACCACCAACCUGGAGACAGACACACACACGAGAGGGUUCAUUUUUAAUGGUGGAUGCACUGGAUGAUUACAGAAUGUGUAAAUCCUGAGCCAUGAAUGAACGACAUGUCUGCAGAAAAGUCCUGCUGUUUUUUUUUUUUUUGUUGGAAUUUUGAUGUUUUUGUUAUUACUUUAUUUGAUUUCACUUAAUACAGUCAGUUUCUCUGAUCAUUGUUACGUCUGCUUUGCUAUUAAAAAAAAAUUGAAUUAAAGACACGUUAGAAGCAAAUGUAA